rnacentral:rRNA from 1 species
GAUCCUGGCUCAGGAUGAACGCUAGCUACAGGCUUAACACAUGCAAGUCGAGGGGCAGCAUGAUCAAGCUUGCUUGAUUGAUGGCGACCGGCGCACGGGUGAGUAACGCGUAUCCAACCUUCCCCUUAGUAGGGCAUAGCCCGGCGAAAGUCGGAUUAAUACCCUAUGUUAUUCGUCGAGGACAUCUGAAGUGAAUCAAAGAUUUAUCGCUAAGGGAUGGGGAUGCGUCUGAUUAGGUUGUUGGCGGGGUAACGGCCCACCAAGCCAUCGAUCAGUAGGGUUCUGAGAGGAAGGUCCCCCACAUUGGUACUGAGACACGGACCAAACUCCUACGGGAGGCAGCAGUGAGGAAUAUUGGUCAAUGGGCGAGAGCCUGAACCAGCCAAGUAGCCGUGCAGGAUGACUGCCCUAUGGGUUGUAAACUGCUUUUAUACGGGGAUAAAGUGAGGUAUGCAUACCUUUUUGUAGGUACCGUAUGAAUAAGGACCGGCUAAUUCCGUGCCAGCCGCCGC